rnacentral:rRNA from 1 species
GAUUCGGUCAGCGGCGGACGGGUGAGUAACACGUGGGCAACCUGCCCGCAAGACCGGGAUAACUCCGGGAAACCGGAGCUAAUACCGGAUAACACCGAAGACCGCAUGGUCUUYGGUUGAAAGGCGGCCUUUGGGCUGUCACUUGCGGAUGGGCCCGCGGCGCAUUAGCUAGUUGGUGAGGUAACGGCUCACCAAGGCGACGAUGCGUAGCCGGCCUGAGAGGGUGACCGGCCACACUGGGACUGAGACACGGCCCAGACUCCUACGGGAGGCAGCAGUAGGGAAUCUUCCGCAAUGGGCGAAAGCCUGACGGAGCGACGCCGCGUGAGCGAAGAAGGCCUUCGGGUCGUAAAGCUCUGUUGUGAGGGACGAAGGAGCGCCGUUCGAAGAGGGCGGCGCGGUGACGGUACCUCACGAGAAAGCCCCGGCUAACUACGUGCCAGCAGCCGCGGUAAUACGUAGGGGGCGAGCGUUGUCCGGAAUUAUUGGGCGUAAAGCGCGCGCAGGCG